GAAAUUCAGUUAGUGCCUUGGUGUUAAAAACGGUUUAGGUUUUUAGCACAACGUUUAAGGGAUUACAACAAACGAUCGAGCAGUUUCUCAACGACCACAGAUAUCGUUUUCGCUUAUCGAAAAUAGAACAAAAUUCUGUACUCGAAUGCUGCCACCGAAUUGCAGAGACCGCAAAGAACAAAGCAACUGCAAAGGCAACACGAAUGGAAAUGGAAGGUGCUCCAAAACAACGCUCCAGAUGCACUCACACUCACACCCCGAUUCACAUUCGCAUUCGCAUUCACUGAAGAGAAACUGACCAAAAGGCGAACAACCGUCGAACGAGAACGAGAGAAGCAGAAGCGGUAGCUACAGAAUAUAAGACACGAACCGAUGUGAUACUUGGAACUACAAAGAACUAAAUUGCAUUGCAUCAAACGAUAUAUAUAUUAAGCAACGUAUUGAAAUUGACAAAGACUUGAGUGCUAGGAGGACUUGCCAAAAAAACACUGAAGAAAACCCUCGGAAAAAAUGGAGCACCUCGAUCUGGCGGGUUAUCUGAGUAAUACACCCACAACAUGGAACAGUUUGGGCAACAGUUUCGAGCAGCAAGAUGCCAUUUACUUGUCGAAUUCCCGGCAAAUGCUGGAGCCCAUCAUGGAGGAGACCAGCGAGGAUGAGGAGCAUGCACAAAACAGUUGGAAUGGCUAUCACGAGCAGCAGCAGCAGCAUCGUGGCUCCACUGGCCAUUGCGGUGGUGGCUUCUGGAGCUCCACAGAGUCGGAAACGGGUUCCGUAAUACGCAUCGAAGUGACAAAAGAUAUCGAUGCAAUUUCCGAAAGAGACUUUGCCUGCCCGCCCAAGCGACCCAGACGCUGCCAGGAGCCCGACCAGCCGCACAGUCUGGAGGAUGGUGUGCAAAUGCGACUACAUCGUCGCUAUGAUGCAGAAUCGCACAACAGUCUGGAGAGAUUCCUGGCUCUGGAGGCCUGUGCCAGGGAUAGCUACGGCAGUCAGGGCCAGAGGAGCAGCACGGGCAGUCGUCGGGGGGGGAUCUUUGACGAUUAUUACUCCGACAAUGAUUCGUUCCACUCGCUGUCGCGCAGCUCCUCUCUGGUGCAGUUUGAGUCCCUGGAGCGGCAGCUGACGUUGCAGGAACAGCACCAGAGCAUGAACAGCCUGGGCAACAGUUCGCCGUCGCUCUUCAACUGCGAAAUGGGAGCCAGUGCCAGUGCCAGCGACAGUAAUCCCGAGAGCAGGCGGGGAUCAGCCAACUCCCUGUCGCUGAUGAAGCGCUACGAGUCCAGCGAUGGACGCCUGCAUCAGACGUAUUUCGAGCUCAACAAACUGAACUUUGAAGAGCAGCAGCGGGAGCUGUUCGCAAAGAACCUCCUCCAAGCGGAAAUCAAGUCGGAUUCCGAGUCGAGCACCAGCUCCUCGAGCGACAGCAGCGGUCACAGCCUCCUGAGCUCCUGCCAAGGCAGCGGAGUGGCCAGUGGCAAGCAGGACGGUGGUGCCGCACGACGUAUACCACUCAAUUCGGCGGAGAAUCUCUCCGAGGAUUCCGGCUACUGUGAGCCGAGCACAUUGCGACGCGAGAAAUCUAAAUCCAUACCAAAGAAUUUCGACAAGCUGUGCGAGGAGGAGGAGGAGCUGCUGCUGGAGGAGUCUGCAACCGUCGUGCCACAUUCCAAAAACUCCAAUGGCGGACAUGAUUUGUGUCAGACGAAAAUAGAGCAGACUACGACGGAGGCUACUACGCCAGCAGCAGCAGCAGCAGCGGCAGCAGCAAUGUCUAUGCCCAUGCCUCUCUCUCCGUCGUCGUCUAUUAAUAGCAGUACGGAGAGAGCAUCAUCAGCAUCGCCAUCGCCACUGCCCUCGCCACUGGCAUCGCCCAGCGGAUCAUCGGCAGCCUCAUCGUCGUCCGCCGCCUCGUUCACUUGGCUGCGCAACAGUUUGCCCGACAUACGCGAGCCGCGAGGUUCAUCGUCAUCGCCAACGUCCGCCACGAGUCGCCACCGCCACAUUAACGCCGCCAUCGAUCCGUCGCCGUCGUCGUCGUCGUCUACGUCGUCCAAGUGUUUUCCAGCGGAAAACGAUAUACACGGCUACGUGCUGGCCAGCAGCGGAAAUCCACGUUGCAGUCGGAGUAGCCGCAGCAGCAGCUCCUCCUCCUCCGCAGACUGCUCCCCUGUCCUUGGGGCCACCUCCCUGCCCAACGAGCUGCAGCAAUUGGGGCGCCGACGAACGCGUACACGCCACAAUCGUCCCGCGCCACGGAAUUGCCACAGCAACAGCAGCGGCGGCAACAGCUCCAGCGAGGACUACGACUUGGAGGAGGAAGAGCGUCGCGACGACUUCUUCCUGGACUUUUGUCAGCAGCCCAGGAUUCGCAGGAGCUGCAGCUGGAACGUGGGCAAGAGGGGACUGGGAGGAGGCGCUCCAUCUUCUGCUGCGGCAGCAUCCACCGGUGCGGGUUACAUGAACGCCAGCUAUCAGAACCUUACGCUCUUGGAUUACACGGAUACCCAGCCAGAGGUGGGAGAUUUGCAGAGGAACUCCAAGAGAAGUCAACCCGCAGAAGAGCCCUUGGAACACAGCCAACCCUUGGACAUGUCUGACAGGAGCAGUCAACCCUUGGAGAUGUGCAAUCGAAGCAGUCUAUCCGGCGGAGACUACGAGCAGAUCAUCUGCAAGGGGAACUUCCUGUUGGAUGAGCUGAGCAAAAUCUACGACAAGAACGUGUCCAUUCUGAAUGACAGACCAGCAACAGCAGGAGCGGAGGAUCAGGUGGAUUGCACCCAUAAAUUGGAGGCAGAGGAACCGCCCCAGGUGCAGCAUGUCCAACUGACAAUAAGGAAGCCGCCUCCGCGCCAGAAAAAAGUCAGUGGAGAAAUCCAGCCCACCACCACGCCCACGCCCAAACAGAGACCCAACCUGCCGCCCGCGGCUGUCUUGAGUUUCUCGAGUUUUGGCAAGACCUUCGAUCAGGAUCCCACAAAUCUGCGCACCUCCUAUGCGCAGUCGCUGGAGCAGUGCAAUUUCGAUGCCCAGGAAAUGAGUCCCACAAAGGUGCCGCCGCCCAGGGCGCUGCCCAAGAGACGCUUCCAGUCCCAGGCGGCGGCGGCCAAGCAGAAGAGCCUCGUCAGCAGCACGCCCAAUCUCUCUGCCUUCGACAACAGCAACGGGGAGACGGAGGAUGACAUCUACGUGAGCAGUGCUCACACAUCGAUGCACCAGCUGCCGCAGUCGGCGAAUCAACCCAAACCUUUGGGCAUUCUACUGCCUGCGGGCUCCAGGAACUCAUUCAGCAAGGAGGUGAGCUUCUGUCCGGUGGUGAGCAAGUACUGCUGGCAGGAGCAGUCCUCGGAGGAGCCACAGGAGGAUCCAGGACUCGGCAGCGACACUCCCGGGCACUCUGACGACGACGAUGAGCUCAUGGACAAUGUGGACGCCACUGUUAUGCACAACACCAAAGAGAAUGAGAACAUAGCGGCGCGCUACAAUCAAGAGCAGCAGAAAAGAGAAACGCAACCGCAGGAGAGUGUGGUAGUUGAAGUGAGUAUCGAGCUGGAAGAGAGAGCAACAGCAGAAGAGCCAGCAACAGCCGAAGAGAGUUUGGCGACGAUCGCCACGGCAGAGAGCGAUGCCGAAGAGAGCGAUGACAACAACGAAAACAUCGCAAACAUCGCAGCCGCUGCUGCUGCUACUGCUGCCGCUGCCGAAGCCGAUUCGGAGCCCCGACACGAGCCCGUUUCAAAUUCUGGAAACGAGACUGCAUUCAUUCACGAACAACGCGCCGUCGCGCAAUCAUCGCAAUCGACACCGUUAUCGACAUCGACAUUGGCUUCCAGCUCACCCUCGCCAUCGCACUCUUUGCCAUUCUCCGCCAGUCGUGAUACCGCGCUCCCUCAGCGUCCCCUGAGCCUGCAUCUGCCGAUCCUCAGUGAACCGCCCACGAACCGCGCCCACCACAUACUCUACGCCUCCCAGCAGCUGUUGCAACGCUACGACGAGGAGGAGCCGCACGAGCGCGAGGAUCGCCGCCAAAUGGCACCCCCCGCCAGUGGUACAGUGGAGUCCCCCACAAAACAAAAGGGUGGAAAGUCGCCGGGAAAAACAGACGACAAGCACCCGAGCUCCAAGAGUUUCCUCUCCAGAUUCGCCAAUGGCCUGCGCUUCUCCCUGAGGCGCAAAAAGAAGCAACAACAGCAGCAGCAGCAACUCGAACAGAAGCCUCCGCUGACAAAGGCAGCGCCCGUGAAGGCCACCAAACAACAGAGCAACGGAAAGUCGGCGGACUUUAUACACAUACCCCUGAAGCCGCCAAGGAGUGCAUCGUCCAAUGUCCAGACCUUGGACGACAGCAACGCCUCUGAGGCCAGCACCGCGAGUGUGCACAGUGGUUCGACUCUGGCCAAGACAUCCACAUUGCAGAAGGUGGUUACCGGCAAGCCGCCGCUGCCCAAACAGCCGCCCAGAUUGACGCAUGCGCCUCCGCCAACGGUGCCAGCAAGUGCUACCCAUGCCUAUGCCUCGGAGGCUUUGCUCAGCGCCGAGCGGGAACAGUAUCGCGAGUUUGCGGACCAGUUGUCGGCGGGCAUGCAAGCGGCGAGGAUGCGGGACACCGAGUCGCCCUCGCGGGCCACCGUUGCCCAAAAGACGCAAAUGUUCAAUCAGCUGGGAGCCGGCUCCAGCGCCGGUGCCGGUGCCGGUGCCGGAAUGCGCCCCACAAUGGUCACUGCCGUGCCCGUGCAAGUAUCCCCCGUACUGGACGAUGAGGAUGGAUCCGGCAAAAUGGGUCUGAUUGAGACGAAUCUGGACACCCACGAGACGGUCAUCUCGGGCAAAACACGCUCCCUAAUGGACAUCACCUGCAAUCCAUUGAGCCAGCCCCACAAGCGGUAUCUGGUGAAGCGUCUGAAUGUCACCAGUGCCACCUACGACGUGGAUGAUGAUGACCUCCUCGAUGGGGAUGUGGUGGUCAAUGGACACCAUAUCAAAUCCUCGCCAGCUGCCGGCGGUGUACAGAUUGCAUCCGUCAGGAGACCGCACAAGAGCAUGGAGUUUCUGUUGGAUAAAGAGAAUCAAAGGAAUGUUUUGCCCCCUGAGAAUGAGCUACAGAAAUCGCACGAUCACAAUCCGGCCGCCCUGAGUGAGCAUCAGCUGCGCGUCCAGGCCUCGCUGCAGCGUCUGAAUAUCCCCGACUGGUUCCGUGCCUACAACCAGAAUGCCGCACAGGCGCCGGAAGGUGCCGCUUCAGGGGGCACGUCGACCUCUGGCGGCGGCUAUCGGCCGGGCAAUUUCACGCGAAAGCGCACCCAGGACUCGGGCCGCUGGCAGGGACUCAACUCGAAGACGACCUCGCUCAGUUCGCUCGGCUCGCACUCGCAGCGCUCCGAUCGCAGUCCUCUGCUGUUGAGUCCCUCGGCGCACAGCCACCAUGGCGGCCAGAGCAGCAGUGUGAGCGGCGGUUCGGCGGCAGGGGGCCCGGCGCAUGGCCAUCAAGGCCAUCAGGGACAGCAGGCCGGAGUGGGGGCCACGCGGUGGUCCACCUCGCAUCUGAACUCCACACAGACCUCGCCGAGCGUCUCGCAGCGAGGGAGCUUCGCCCGUGGGGCGCCCAUCAACAGCAGCUUCAUGUCGGUGGCCAGCAACAGCAGCAGCGUCCUGAGGAACUCCUACCGCCAGCCGUACCUCGGAUGGCGCAGCACGGAGAAGCUAUCCCAGCGGACGCCACACGAACGUCUCGCCAGCUCUCUGCUGGCACAACGCACAACCCCAUCUCCCACAUCGGCGGCGCCCAACGGCGGACGCACUCUGCAGGCGGUGACGCCAGAGAUCCAGAGCUCCAUCAAGGAGGUCACCUCGGCGAUUGUGCACUACGUGAACGACCAGCAGCUCUCCCAGCAGCAGCAGCAGAAUCGCAGCCGAUCCGCCAGUCCAAAUUCGAGCUACCUGUAAAAGUCUUCAGCACCACCAACCACCAACACCACCACCGUUCAGCAGCACCACCAAAAAAAUUGACAAAAGCUGAAUAGAAAAGAAAAACAGAAAAGAACAGAACAGAAAAGAAAAGCGAGAAAACCAGGCUUUGUCAGAGGAAAUGCUGGCUUGAGAGCAGCUUUGUGGGCACACGACCACUGGACUCGCCGCAGACACCCGUGAUUGACAGCAGCCCCCCCGCCACAGC
rnacentral:misc_RNA from 1 species